UAUUUAACAAAAGCUCGGGACUGGUUGAGUGAAACGUGGACAGGACACAAGGGCAAUUUCCCUCUCCUCCGCCGACUCGUUUUUCCUCCUCUACAUCCCCUUUCUAGACUUUCGCUCGUCUAUAAGAAACCUUAAAGAAUGAUGGUACGAGAAGAUAAAACCAACUCUGCUUCAAAAUGUAGGUUACUCUGCUGCCACAGCUUUUGAUAUUCGGGUUCAUUAUGGUAUUAUACAGGUACCUAGAUGUACUAGCUGUGCUUUUGUCAUUCCUUAAAUGAGAAUCCCUUAUAUUAGAUAUCUCAGGUCAACGUUCUUAAAAAGAUGCUUCCCUCUCCUCUUCGUCGAACAAUUCUUUAGGAAAUCGUCGAAUUGCCGAUUGCUUGAAACUUUCGAUUACGCGACUGUUCGGAAAUAAUAACACUCUCAUACUGUAGUUUUCUACCCCUCACAAGUUUGAAAGUUUCUCAGAUUGUCAGAUCAUUUCUAUACAGUCGUCGACAAAGGAGACUUUCAAAGUUAAUUCUCGGAAGAUAUUACAAGAUAGAAAGAUGAUAAAUGCGUUUAUGAACACUAUUAAAAGGAGACAAUAAUG